GUGGGUACAGCUCAGCAGUAGAGCACAUGCUUAGCAUGCAGGAGGCCCUGGGUUCAAUUCACACUACCUCCA
rnacentral:tRNA from 1 species